rnacentral:rRNA from 1 species
AAGGAUCAUUAGUGAAUAUAGGACGUCCAACUUAACUUGGAGUCCGAACUCUCACUUUCUAACCCUGUGCACUUGUUUGGGAUAGUAACUCUCGCAAGAGAGCGAACUCCUAUUCACUUAUAAACACAAAGUCUAUGAAUGUAUUAAAUUUUAUAACAAAAUAAAACUUUCAACAACGGAUCUCUUGGCUCUCGCAUCGAUGAAGAACGCAGCGAAAUGCGAUAAGUAAUGUGAAUUGCAGAAUUCAGUGAAUCAUCGAAUCUUUGAACGCACCUUGCGCUCCAUGGUAUUCCGUGGAGCAUGCCUGUUUGAGUGUCAUGAAUACUUCAACCCUCCUCUUUCUUAAUGAUUGAAGAGGUGUUUGGUUUCUGAGCGCUGCUGGCCUUUAUGGUCUAGCUCGUUCGUAAUGCAUUAGCAUCCGCAAUCGAACUUCGGAUUGACUUGGCGUAAUAGACUAUUCGCUGAGGAAUUCUAGUCUUCGGAUUAGAGCCGGGUUGGGUUAAAGGAAGCUUCUAAUCAGAAUGUCUACAUUUUAAGAUUAGAUCUCAAAUCAGGUAGGACUACCCGCUGAACUUAA